UACAGAGGUCUCAAGCGUUGUUCGGAUUCAUUGGGCGUAAAGGGUGCGUAGGUGGCGCCGUAAGUCAGGUGUGAAAUUUCGGAGCUUAACUCCGAAACUGCAUUUGAUACUGCGGUUGCUUGAGGACUGGAGAGGAGAGACUUGGAAGUUCACGGUGUAGCAGUAGAAAUGCGUAGAUAUCGUGAGGAAGACCAGUGGCGGAAGGCGGGUCUCUGGACAGUUCCUGACACUGAGGCAGCGAAGGCCAGGGGAGACAAAACCGGG
rnacentral:rRNA from 1 species